rnacentral:rRNA from 1 species
UACGGGGGGGUAAGCGUUGUUCGGAAUUACUGGGCGUAAAGGGCUCGUAGGCGGCCAACUAAGUCGGACGUGAAAUCCCCAGGCUCAACCUGGGAACUGCGUCCGAUACUGGAUGGCUUGAAUCCGGGAGAGGGAUGCAGAAUUCCAGGUGUAGCGGUGAAAUGCGUAGAUAUCUGGAGGAAUACCGGUGGCGAAGGCGGCAUCCUGGACCGGCAUUGACGCUGAGGAGCGAAAGCCAGGGGAGCAAACGGG